UACGUAGGGUGCGAGCGUUGUCCGGAAUUAUUGGGCGUAAAGAGCUUGUAGGCGGUCUGUCGCGUCUGCUGUGAAAAUCCGGGGCUCAACCCCGGACUUGCAGUGGGGUACGGGCAGACUAGAGGUGUGGUAGGGGAGACUGGAAUUCCUGGUGUAGCGGUGAAAUGCGCAGAUAUCAGGGAGGGAACACCCGAUGGCGAAAGGCAGGUCUCUGGG
rnacentral:rRNA from 1 species